rnacentral:tmRNA from 1 species
GGGGGCGUAACGGAUUCGACGGGAUCGAAUCGUGGUGGGGAGGCGUGCCGGGUUCCGAGCUCCCGUAAAACGAUCGGAAAAACAGAACUGCCAACACGCAGUUUGCAUACGCCGCCUAAGUAAUUAGGUAGCCGCUCCAGCCGCUGAGCCCGCGCGGCGGUGAGUGAGCGUCAUUUUGCGGGAUAGGCCAACGGCUUCGGUCCGGAGCCCGCGGUCGAGAUCUAAUCGGGCUAGGCCGCCGCCCACGCUGGCCGGUUCUGAAGCGGUGGCCGAAAGCAGUUUGAGCCGGCUACGCACGUAGUCUCUUCAUUGCGAGCUUUCUCGGACGGGGGUUCAACUCCCCCCGCCUCCACCA